CCUACGGGAGGCAGCAGUAGGGAAUAUUGCUCAAUGGGGGAAACCCUGAAGCAGCAACGCCGCGUGGAGGAUGAAGGUUUUAUGAUUUUACACUCCUUUUGUUAGAGAAGAUAAUGACGGUAUCCCACGAAUAAGCACCGUCUAACUCCGUUCCAGCAGCCGCGGUAAUACGGAGGGUGCAAGCGUUACUCGGAAUCACUGGGCGUAAAGAGUGCGCAGGCGGGCUUGUAAGUCAGAUGUGAAAUCCUGUAGCUUAACUACAGAACUGCAUUUGAAACUAUGAGUCUAGAGUGUGGGAGAGGUAGGUGGAAUUCUUGGUGUAGGGGUAAAAUGCGUAGAUAUCAAGAGGAAUACGCAUUGCGAAGGCGACCUACUGGAACAUUACUGACGCUCAUGCACGAAAGCGUGGGGAGCAAACAGGAUUAGAUACCCGGGUAGUC
rnacentral:rRNA from 1 species